CAGAAAUGAAAAGUCUGCCUUAUGGAAGACAAGGCACCGACGCUUUCCCUGACAGCAUCAUCAUCACCCAACUAGGGCAGCUGACCCGCGUCUUCCUCACGACGUGGAAUGGUUUGAGUCAAGGGUUUUCAUGGCCAUGAGCCACGUGGAGGCUGUGCCUUUUGUUUCCUGUGAGAAAUCUUCAACCAGCGCCACUCUCAGCCUCCCCUCUGCCAGCGCUUCUGUGGCUGCACCUGCAUUCGUGGGCUGUGGCUGCGAAGCACAGGAAUAAUUGAUGGCUCUGGGGCACUUUGCUGGGCUGCUUCCAGAAAAGUUGACCCCUCCCUGCAAACCAGCACUGCCCAGCAUUCUUGUCCCGCCAAGCCUGACUGUGAGCUGUUGUGACGUUGCCACUUUGCUCGGAAAGGACCCCUUACCUUUUAUUUCCCUUGCAUUUCUUUCAAUUCUACCAUUGACCAUUUCUCAUACGUGUGGUCAUCAUUGUAUUUCGCCCCCAUUUUGUGAGGUUUAGUGUAUUCUUAAAGUUUCCUGGGUUUUGAUGAGAGCAUAUUCUGUCAUUAUAUUUAACAGGUGUUUUCCCCAGCUUG
ensembl:lncRNA LINC02708 long intergenic non-protein coding RNA 2708